UACGAAGGGGGCUAGCGUUGCUCGGAAUGACUGGGCGUAAAGGGCGCGUAGGCGGAUGACACAGUCAGAUGUGAAAUUCCCGGGCUUAACCUGGGGGCUGCAUUUGAUACGUGUUGUCUAGAGUGAGGAAGAGGGUUGUGGAAUUCCCAGUGUAGGAGGUAGAAAUUCGUAGAUAGUUGGGAAGAACACCGGUGGCGAAGGCGGCAACCUGGUCCUUGACUGACGCUGAGGCGCGAAAGCGUGGGGAGCAAACAGG
rnacentral:rRNA from 1 species